UACGUAGGGUGCGAGCGUUAAUCGGAAUUACUGGGCGUAAAGCGUGCGCAGGCGGUUGUGCAAGACAGAUGUGAAAUCCCCGGGCUUAACCUGGGAAUGGCAUUUGGGACUGCAAGGCUGGAGUGCGGCAGAGGAGACUGGAAUUCCUGGUGUAGCAGUGAAAUGCGUAGAUAUCAGGAGGAAUACCGAUGGCGAAGGCAGGUCUCUGGGCUGACACUGACGCUCAUGCACGAAAGCGUGGGGAGCAAACAGG
rnacentral:rRNA from 1 species